rnacentral:rRNA from 1 species
UACGGGGGGAGCAAGCGUUGUUCGGAUUUACUGGGCGUAAAGGGCGCGUAGGCGGCCACCGCAAGUCGACUGUGAAAUCUCCGGGCUUAACCCGGAAAGGUCAGCCGAUACUGCGGGGCUAGAGUGCAGAAGGGGCAACUGGAAUUCUCGGUGUAGCGGUGAAAUGCGUAGAUAUCGAGAGGAACACCCGCGGCGAAGGCGGGUUGCUGGGCUGACACUGACGCUGAGGCGCGAAAGCUAGGGGAGCGAACGGG